AAAAAAAUACUCAUCUCCUUUAGAUAUAAUAUCAAAGAGAGAUGCCUCUUAGCCAUGCCUAUCGUUUGUGAUGAAACUGAAAGCCAACAUUUCCCUUCUAGAGAAAAGCCACCUUCCUCUUCUUAUUAAUUUUGUUUAUUCUGCCAAUUUCUUUUCUUUUCUAUGUAAAUAUGAUAGGUGUAGCCAAAAAACUGUUCUUUUUGUUGAUUUUAUUUGAAAAGUUUACAGAGGAGAAUAUCAUACCUACAGAGCUCCUUCAUUGGCAU
rnacentral:misc_RNA from 1 species